UGUGUGUGUGUGAUGUGUGUGUAUAACGUGUGUGUGUGUGUGUGUGUGUGUGUGAUUCCAUCAGAUCCCAGUUCGAGGCCUUCCCCGACAAGGUGACACGCGUGUGACACGUGUGUGACAUACGUGUAGUGUGUGUGUGUAUAACGUGUGUGUGUGUGUGUGAUCCCGUCAGGACGCAGUUUGAGGCCUUCCCCGACAAGGUGACACGUGUGUGACAGGCGUGUGACAUGUGUGUGACAUACGUGUAGUGUGUGUGAGUGUAAUUUGUGUCUGUGAUGUGUGUGUGUGUAUAACAUGUGUGUGUGUGUGUGUGAUCCCGUCAGGACGCAGUUCGAGGCCUUCCCCGACAAGGUGACACGCGUGUGACAGGCGUGUGACAUCCGUGUGACAUGUGUGCGACAUGUGUAGUGUGUGUAAUGUGUGUCUGUGGUGUGUGUGUAUUACGUGUGUGUGUGUGUGAUCCCGUCAGAACGCAGUUUGAGGCCUUUCCCGACAAGGUGACACGCGUGUGACAGGCGUGUGACACAUGUGUGACAUACGUGUAGUACAUGUGUCUGUAAUGUGUGUCUGUGGUGUGCGUGUUUGUGAUUCCAUCAGAUCCCAGUUCGAGGCCUUCCCCGACAAGGUGACACGCGUGUGACACGCGUGUGACAUGUUUGUGACGUGUGUGUGUGACGUGUGUGUGUAUAACAUGUGUGUGUGUGUGAUCCCAUCAGAUCCCAGUUCGAGGCCUUCCCCAAGGUGACACACGUGUGACAUGCGUGUGACGUGCGUGUGAUGUCUGUGUGUAACGUGUGUCUGUGUUGUGUGUAUAACAUGUGUGUGUAUAACAUGUGUGUGUAUAACGUGUGUGUGUGAUCCCGUCAGGACGCAGUUCGAGGCCUUCCCCGACAAGGUGACGAUCCAGCUGGACGACACGUGUGUUACAUGUAUGUUCGUGUCCCACACGCGGCCAUCCAGAUGAACAUGUGGCCAUCCAGAUGAACAUGUAUGUUCUACGUAUGUUUUAUGUAUGUCCCAUGUGCGUUCCACAUGUGUUCCACGUGGCGAUCCAGCUGAACGACACGUAUGUUACAUGUAUGUUCGUGCCCCACAGGUGGCCAUCCAGAUGAACAUGUAUGUUCCACGUGUGUUCCACGUGGCGAUCCAGCUGAACGACACGUAUGUUACACGUAUGUUCAUGUCCCACACGCGGCCAUCCAGAUGAACAUGUUCUACGUAUGUUUUAUGUAUGUCCCAUGUGUGUCCCACGUGUGUUCCACAUAUGUUCCACGUAUGUUCUACGUAUGCUCCACGCAUGUAUCACAAAUGUUACAGGUGGCCAUCCAGGUGAAUGACACCUACAUUCCACGUGUGUUCUACGUAUGUUCCACAUGUGUGUUCCACGUGUGUUCCAUGUGUGUUCCAUGUAUGUUCUGCAUAUGUUCCACAUGUGUUCCACGCAUGUUCCACACAUGUAUCACAUGUUACGGGUGGCCAUCCAGCUGAUUGACACCUAUAUUCCAUGUGUGUUCCACAUAUGUUCCACAUGUGUGUUCCACGUGUGUUCCACGUGUGUUCCAUGUAUGUUCCAUGUAUGUUCCACGUAUGUUCCACGCAUGUAUCACAUGUUACAAUGGCCAUCCAGCUGAAUGACACCUAUAUUCCACGUGUGUUCCAUGUAUGUUCCAUGUACGUUCCGUGUGUGUUCCACAUAUGUUUUGUUUGUGUUCCACAUAUGUUCCACGCACGUUCCACGUGUGCCCUACGCGUGUCCCCCUAUGUUAGACGCGUGUUCCAUGUGUGCCCUAGGCGUGUCGCACUCAGUUUAGAUGCGUGUUCCUAGGCGUGUUGCACACAAGUGAGAUGCAUGUUCCACGUGUGCCCUGGGCGUGUCGCCCGAAUGUUAGACACGUGUUCCACGUGUGCCCUAGGCGUGUCUCAUACAGGUUAGACGUGCGUUCCUAGGCGUGUCGCACACAUGUUUGACGUGUGUUCUACGUGUGCCCUACGUAUGUCGCUCAUAUGUUAGAUGCGGGUUCCACAUGUGUCCUAGACGUGUCGCCUGUAUGUUAGAUGUGUGUUCCAUGUGUGCCCUAGGCGUGUUGCACACAGGUUAGACAUGUGUUCUACGUGUGCCCUACGUAUGUCGCCCAUAUAUUAGACACGUGUUCCACGUGUGUCCUAGGCGUGUUGCCCAUAUGUUAGACACAUGUUCCAUGCGUGCCCUUCUCGUGUCACCCAUAUGUUAGACACAUGUUCCAUGCGUGCCCUUCUCGUGUCACCCAUAUGUUAGAAACAUGUUCCACGAGUGCCCUAGGCGUGUUGCACUCAGGUUAGAUGUGUGUUCCCAGGCGUGUCGCACACAAGGUAGACGUGUGCUCCACGUGUGCCCUAGGCGUGUCACACACAGGUUAGACAUGUGUUCCACGUGUGUCCUAGACAUGUCGCCCUUAUGUUAGACGCAUGUUCCAAGUGUGCCCUCGGCGUGUCACACACAGGUUAGAUCUGUGUUGCACGUGUGCCCUAGGCAUGUCACCCAUAUGUUAGAUGCGUGUUCCACGUGUGCCCUACGCGUGUCUCAUACAGGUUAGACAUGUGUUCCUAGGCGUGUCGCACACAGGUUAGACGUGUGUUCUACGUGUGCCCUACGUAUGUUGCCCAUA